AUUGAACGCUGGCGGCAGGCCUAACACAUGCAAGUCGAACGAGUGGCGGACGGGUGAGUAAUGUCUGGGAAACUGCCUGAUGGCAGGGGAUAACUACUGGAAACGGUAGCUAAUACCGCAUACCAUCGGAUGUGCCCAUAUGGGAUUAGCUAGUAGGUGGGGUAACGGCUCACCUAGGCGACGAUCUCUAGCUGGUCUGAGAGGAUGGCCAGCCACACUGUACCUGAGACACGGUCCAGACUCCUACGGUAGGUAGCAGUGGGGAAUAUUGCACAAUGGGCGCAAGCCUGAUGCAGCCAUGCCGCGUGUAUGAAGAAGGCCUUCGGGUUGUAAAGUACUUUCAGCGGGGAGGCGUUACCCGCAGAAGAAGCACCGGCUAACUCCGUGCCAGCCGCCGCGGUAAUAC
rnacentral:rRNA from 1 species